rnacentral:lncRNA from 1 species
CAAUGAAACAAGCCACACAAUGCUGCCCAUAGAAAGCUCUCCAUGCAUGUGGCUCUGACCAGGCACCAGAUGUGCCUGCGGGAUGCAGCAGCCUGCAGAGGACAGAACUUGCGUGGGAAGGAGGACUCACACAUGUGCUGAGCCCUCUCUAGCCAUUUGUGUGUGUGGUCACAGGUCCUGGCGGCCAGGUGGGUGAGGAUGCUUGGAAGUAUCGAUUAGAGUGGUUCCGACAGGAUUUGGGGAUGCUGGCAUAGCAUUGCCACCCCGCAGGAACAACGGCCUGAAGUAUGGAAAGAGUGAUUAUAGAGAUUCCAGAAGAAAGGAGAGACCAACAUGAGAGAACCAGGAUGAUAAGGUCCGAAGAGCACCAUCCAGAUCUGGUGGUUAGUGGAUGUCCACUGUCCUCCCCAUGGUGGGGACAGGCAAGCAGCCAGGACAAAGGCAGCAAGUGCCAAGUGUUUGUGAGAAAUCUGCAAUGUGGAGAAGGGUGGCAGCCAGAAAGAAAUGGGGAACAAAGGAGAGGAGUUUCACUGAUUUUGCCCAUUCUGUGUUUUCUCUUUAACUGGACGCAUACGUGUGGCAGAUUGCAAAAGGGGCCGUAGAUUCUUCCUGGUUUUGUAUCCACACCCUUCCAAAAUGCAGCUCUUUCCACAAGACAGAGACUCUUUCUCUGUCUCUCCAAUCAGGCUGGCCCUGGACUUUGUUCAUCCGUGAAAUAGGGGCAAACCUGACGCAGGAACCAGAAAAGGACUGGCCCUUUCCCUGCUCUUGGAACCCUGGGACAGCCUGUGUGUGAGCCUGGGCUGGCCUGCUGGGUGAUGAAAGAGCCAGCUGCCCCCUUCUCUCCCCAUCACCCCAGUCAAUGGCCAGACAACCUCCAGGAGCAGAACCACCCUGCCGAUCGGCAGCUGACCACAGAUGCACGAGGGAGCCCAGCCAAGAUCAGAAGACCUGCCGUGCUGAGUCCAGCCCAGAAUGCCAACUUAUGGAAUCAUGAACUAAAUGAAUGGUUUUUUAAGCCACUAAGUUUUGGGGUGGUUUGUUAUGGAAAAAAAAAAGCUAAGUGAUACACUGUAUAUAACGAG